rnacentral:rRNA from 1 species
UACGUAGGGGGCUAGCGUUGUCCGGAAUCAUUGGGCGUAAAGAGCGUGUAGGCGGCCCGGUAAGUCCGCUGUGAAAGUCGGGGGCUCAACCCUCGAAUGCCGAUGGAUACUGCCGGGCUAGAGUUCGGAAGAGGCGAGUGGAAUUCCUGGUGUAGCGGUGGAAUGCGCAGAUAUCGGGAGGAACACCUAUAGCGAAGGCAGCUCGCUGGGACGACACUGACGCUGAGACGCGAAAGCGUGGGGAGCGAACAGG